rnacentral:rRNA from 1 species
GUCGAGGGGCAGCAGAGAGUAGCAAUACUUAGAUGGCGACCGGCGCACGGGUGCGUUACGCGUAUGCAACCUACCUACAACAGGGGAAUAACCCGGAGAAAUUCGGACUAAUACCGCAUAAAACAGGGGUCCCGCAUGGGAAUAUUUGUUAAAGAUUUAUCGGUUGUAGAUGGGCAUGCGUUCCAUUAGGAAGUUGGUGAGGUAACGGCUCACCAAUCCAACGAUGGAUAGGGGAACUGAGAGGUUUGUCCCCCACACUGGAACUGAGACACGGACCAGACUCCUACGGGAGGCAGCAGUGAGGAAUAUUGGUCAAUGGGCGAGAGCCUGAACCAGCCAAAUCGCGUGAAGGAAGACUGCCUUAUGGGUUGUAAACUUCUUUUAUCAGGGAAUAAAAAGAGUUACGAGUAACUUAUUGCAUGUACCUGAUGAAUAAGCAUCGGCUAACUCCGUGCCAGCAGCCGCGGUAAUACGGAGGAUGCGAGCGUUAUCCGGAUUUAUUGGGUUUAAAGGGUGCGCAGGCGGGCUUUUAAGUCAGCGGUGAAAUCCCAACGCUUAACGUUGGAACUGCCGUUGAAACUGGGAGUCUUGAGCAUAGAUGAAGUAAGCGGAAUUCGUUGUGUAGCGGUGACAUGCUUAGAUAUAACGAGGAACUCCGAUUGCGUAGGCAGCUUACUAAGCUAUAACUGACGCUCAAGCACGAAAGCGUGGGGAUAAUCACUAAUGAAUUCGCCGG